GCAUUUACAAUACAUAUAAAAUAAGGCCCGUAUGUCAAUUUGUGACAGGCCGAGAAUAUAGCUGUCUUUCAGACUGCCUUGUAUGAAAUAAUGCUAACACAUGAGUAAAUUCGUUUUAAAGUCAAUGUUACUAUCUUUCUUAAGUUAAAACAUAUGAUGCAUUAGAUAAUUUGAAAAAAACAGCUUAAAAUCACCUGGAAAUAUGUGGAUCUCUUUAAUCAUUGGCAGAUAUCUGGAAUACAAACACACAGACCCAUACAUUUUAUUAUGCCCCCCAAAGGUGGGCAUAUUAAAAUCACAAUGUCCGAACAUCCGUGUGUCCGUCCGUGCAUCCAUGUAAAUUCUUGUCUGGGUUGUAACUCUGCCAUCCAUAAAGGGAUUUUGAAAUAAUUUGGCAUAAAUGUUCACCAUGAUGGGACGACAUGUCUUAUGUGAGACCCAGACCCAUAGCUCCAAGGUCAAGGUCACACUUAGAGGUUAAAGGUUAACAUGGAGUGUUUCUUGUCAGAUCCAUAACUCUGCCAUCGAUGAAGGGAUUUUAAAAUUACUUGGCAUAAAUGUUCUCUAUAAUGGGAUGACUAGUUAUGCACAAGACCCAGACCCCUAGCUCCAAGGUCAAGGUCAUACUUAGACGUCAAAUACUAACAUGGUCUGUUUCUUGUCUGGUCCAUAACUCUGACAUUUAUUAAGGAAUUUGAAAAUAAUUUGAGACAAAAUUAAUGUUAACCAUAUUGGGAAGAAGGUGUGUCGCGCUUACGACCCGGGUCUCUCAGGUCAAGGACAAGGUCACAAAAUGAUUCAUACCUAAACUGUUCUAGCAUAUUUUGCGCAGACAACUGCAGCAUUCUUGGACAGGCUUCAGGGGUAUUUGUUACUAAUAGUGACAGCUCUUGUUUCACCAUAUUUUAGGCCGUAUGUUUAUUUACGACUGAGAAGUUUCAUAUAAAUCUACAUUGUAGAAAAAAUUCUAUCUGCAAAAAUGUUAUCAAAAAUGUGAUUUUCCCAGACUCCCAUUAUGAAAACUUGUGUGAGGUUAAAAUUUUUCAAAUAGUCUAGCACAAAAUCAAGCACACAACCCUAACUUGGUUUUAUUUGCUGAAUUUUCUAAAUCUAUUCUGAAGUUUUAAAUAAUCAAAGUUUAAUUAAAUUCUACACUAGAAAAUUUUUUGAUCCAAAUGUGCAAAACUGUCUUAACUGGAUGUAGGGUUACGGGUCUCAAAAACCUUUUAACAGCUGCUGCUUAUGAACUUGGACCAAACCUGAUCUUAAGCCCCCUUGGUUGGACUUCUCUCAAGUUUGCAUUAAGGGAUAUGCAUUUCAGUGCCAUCAAAGCAAGAAAUAGAAAAAAGCUUUAAAUAGCUGUUGAUGAUGUGUAUUUAAUGUUCACCAAACUGUUCAGAAGCAAGGUCAAAAGGUCAUUCUCAAGACACAGGUUUUGUAGAAACAGUCUUUCAAUAGAGAUGCCAUAUCCAAA